rnacentral:rRNA from 1 species
GGGAUGACGUCAAGUCAUCAUGGCCCUUAUGUCCAGGGCGACACACGUGCUACAAUGGCCGGCACAGCGGGAAGCGAGGGGGCGACCUUGAGCGGAAUCCCUCAAAAGCCGGUCUCAGUUCGGAUUGCAGUCUGCAACUCGACUGCAUGAAGUUGGAAUCGCUAGUAAUCGUGGAUCAGCCAAGCCGCGGUGAAUACGUUCCCGGGCCUU